CUCCCAUGCCCAUUAUCUCUUAUUUUAUGUGACAAAACCUUCUCUCCCAGGCCUUUGCACACAUCCAAAGCUUUCCACACUUUCUCUCUUAUAUGGAAUGUGGUUGUGGACCAAGUCAAAGUAGGAAUUAGUUUGGAUUUCAAAUUCUAUGAGAUAGAAUUUUAGGAAACCAAAACUCUUUCCUUAUGGCACUGAUUUUACCCAAAUUUUUUCUAAUAUUUUCAUAACUUUUAUGGCACAUAUUGUGUGCCCUUUUAUGGUGGUCCAUGGUAGAAAAAGAAGGAGGGGGUGCCCAAGAGUUGGGCACCACUUGUCUUGCCCUAUUUAGAUUUUUCUUGACUAGGUAUUUGACCUAGACAAGGAUUCUUCAUAUCUUUUGAUUUAAGAUGAAUUUCUUCUUAAUAUUUUUGUGGAUUAUAGAGCAUUGAGAGACCUUUGGGACAUGUAAAAAUCAGGGAGAAAGAGUAUUAUGGCAUGGAGAUAUAAUAGCCACAAAACUAAGUAUCUAGGUGAGAGCAAAGAGAAGAAGAAGAGGGUCUUCUUCUAGGGUUGCUGAGUUCACCUCUUCCAUUCCUCCAUCUAUGAGUUUCUGAGAGUGUCUCAUAUCUAAAACUUCUUCUCCUACUUCUCAUCUUUGGAAGAGUCCAAAUCAAGAAGAAGGAGACAUCUGAUCGACCAUCGAAAAAGGAUCAGCAUAAUACUAGCAUACGAUGCUGAUUUUCUGGAUCAGGACUUCUGAUCGUGAUUCAUGGGCUCGUGUAGAUGACUCCUAGAGGUCGGAUGCAUGUGCAGCUCACAACAUCAUCCUCAAGUCUGGAUCAGCAAAGUUAAAAUGUCUAACUUGUAAGGUAAUAGAUUUGAUUUAUUAUAUUUUACAUACAUUAGAUGUAGUAUAGAAACAUGUUGAUAUGAUUAACAUGUAGUUCUUGCUCUUUAUAUUUUAAUUUU
rnacentral:lncRNA from 1 species